rnacentral:rRNA from 1 species
UACGUAGGGUGCGAGCGUUGCCCGGAUUUAUUGGGCGUAAAGAGCUCGUAGGCGGCCUGUCGCGUCGACCGUGAAAACCCGCAGCUCAACUGCGGGCUUGCGGUCGAUACGGGCAGGCUGGAGUUCGGUAGGGGAGACUGGAAUUCCUGGUGUAGCGGUGAAAUGCGCAGAUAUCAGGAGGAACACCGGUGGCGAAGGCGGGUCUCUGGGCCGAUACUGACGCUGAGGAGCGAAAGCGUGGGGAGCGAACAGG